GUUCACGAUCGUGCCACCCUGAAUGCGCCCUAUCUCAUCUGAUCUCAGAAGCUGAGCAGCAUCAGGUAUGGUUAGUAUUUGAUGGAAGAAAAGCAAUGAGUUCUGUGAAGC
rnacentral:rRNA from 1 species